AAAUAGAUACCCGGGUAGUCCACGCCGUAAACGAUGAGUGCUAAGUGUUAGAGGGUUUUCCGCCCUUUAGUGCUGCAGCUAACGCAUUAAGCACUCCGCCUGGGGGAGUACGGUCGCAAGACUGAAACUCAAAAGGGAAUUGACGGGGGGCCCGCACAAGCGGUGGAGCAUGUGGUUUAAUUCGAAGCAACGCGAAGAACCUUACCAGGUCUUGACAUCCCACUGAUCGGUAUAGAGAUAUACCUUUCCCGUUCGGGGACAGUGGUGACAGGUGGUGCAUGGUUGUCGUCAGCUCGUGUCGUGAGAUGUUGGGUUAAGUCCCGCAACGAGCGCAACCCUUGAUCUUAGUUGCCAGCAUUUAGUUGGGCACUCUAAGGUGACUGCCGGUGACAAACCGGAGGAAGGUGGGGAUGACGUCAAAUCAUCAUGCCCCUUAUGACCUGGGCUACACACGUGCUACAAUGGAUGGUACAAAGGGCUGCAAGACUGCGAAGUCAAGCCAAUCCCAUAAAACCAUUCUCAGUUCGGAUUGCAGG
rnacentral:rRNA from 1 species